CCGCUCCUAGCUCAACUGGAUAGAGCGCCGGGCUUCGAACCCGGAGGUUGGGGGUUCAAGUCCCUCGGAGCGGGCCA
rnacentral:tRNA from 3 species